rnacentral:rRNA from 1 species
GAUGAACGCUAGCGGGAGGCCUAACACAUGCAAGUCGAGGGGUAACGGAAGUAGCUUGCUACUAGACGACGACCGGCGCACGGGUGAGUAACGCGUAUGUAAUCUGCCUUGUACAGGGGAAUAGCCCAGAGAAAUUUGGAUUAAUGCCCCAUAGUAUUAUUUAACCGCAUGGUUGAAUGAUUAAAGCUCCGGCGGUACAAGAUGAACAUGCGUGACAUUAGCUAGAUGGUAAGGUAACGGCUUACCAUGGCGACGAUGUCUAGGGGUUCUGAGAGGAUGAUCCCCCACACUGGUACUGAGACACGGACCAG